rnacentral:misc_RNA from 1 species
GAAAAAAAAAAAAGUGAAAAAUUCUUUGUAUUCCUCUUCCUUCACUCUCUGAAUUUGGAUUUUUUGUCGCCUGGUGGAAAAUUGAAGAGAAACUCGAGUUAGAUUCAUCUAAUUUUGGAUUCUGUAGGUCAUUGAAUUGGUGUUAAUUUUGUGUCGUUUUGAGUUGUUUCAGUAUCAAUGGCCCAAGCCGAACUGACUGCGGAACAGGUUCUUAAGAGGGAUAUCCCAUGGGAGACAUAUAUGAUGACAAAGCUGAUCUCAGGAACUGACCUUCAGCUGUUGAGGCGCUAUGAUAAUCGAUCUGAAAGUUACAGGGCACAAUUGUUAGAUGAUGAUGGUCCAGCUUAUGUUCGGGUAUUUGUUAGCAUCUUACGGGAUAUAUUUAAGGAAGAAACAGUUGAAUAUGUUCUUGCUUUAAUUGAUGAAUUGCUAACAGCUAAUCCAAAAAGAGCUAGAUUAUUCCAUGAUAAGUCUCUUGCAAAUGAGGAUACUUAUGAACCUUUCUUAAGAUUGCUUUGGAAAGGUAACUGGUACAUCCAAGAAAAGAGCUGCAAGAUUCUUGCACUAAUAGUAAGUGCUAGGCCAAAAACUCAAGAUGGCAUCACUGCAAAUGGACGAGUGUCAAACAAACUCAAAGAGUAAAGUCACUUUCAUUGAUGAUGUGUUAAAAGGAUUGGUUGAAUGGCUUUGUGCUCAGCUGAAGAAGCCUUCUCAUCCGAGUCGGGGUGUUCCAACUGCUAUUAGUUGCCUAGCAACAUUACUCAGGGAACCUGUAGUGAGGUCUUCAUUUGUUAAAGCAGAUGGAGUGAAGCUGUUGAUACCUUUAAUUUCUCCUGCAUCUAGCCUGCAAUCUAUCCAGCUUCUCUAUGAAACAUGUCUCUGUGUCUGGCUAUUAUCGUACUAUGAACCAGCAAUUGAAUACUUGGCUACUUCAAGAACCUUGCCGCGACUAAUAGAGGUUGUAAAGAGUUCCACUAAAGAAAAGGUUGUCAGGGUGAUUGUCUUGACCUUUAGGAACUUGCUUGCCAAAGGUACUUUUGGUGCACAGAUGGUAGACCUUGGUCUACCACAAAUUGUUCAAAGUUUGAAAGCACAGGCAUGGAGUGAUGAGGACUUGUUGGAGGCUCUGAACCAACUGGAAGAAGGCUUGAGGGAUAACAUUAAGAAACUGAGUUCUUUUGAUAAGUAUAAGCAAGAAGUCCUCCUUGGGCAUCUUGACUGGUCUCCUAUGCACAAAGAUCCUAUAUUCUGGCGUGAAAAUAUUAACAAUUUUGAAGAGAAUGAUUUCCAGAUUCUGAGGGUCCUUAUUACAAUUUUGGACACAUCUAGUGACCCAAGAGCUCUGGCUGUUGCUUGCUUUGAUCUCUCACAAUUUAUCCAGCACCACCCUGCUGGGCGGAUUAUAGUGACAGACCUCAAGGCCAAGGAACGGGCAAUGAAACUGAUGAACCAUGAAAAUGCUGAAGUUACCAAAAAUGCUCUACUCUGCAUUCAAAGGCUUUUCCUAGGCGCAAAGUACGCUAGCUUUUUGCAGGCAUGAUUCGAUGUGCAAAGUGUGUAAUAAUAGUGCAAUGGUUUUACGCCAUCUGCUGUGGGACUGCAUAAAAUGAAGGGACCCUGAAGUCAGCUUCUUGGUUAUUUGUCACAAUGAUUAAUAUUGAUAAGAACUCUUCUUUACUAGACAUUCAGUUACUUGCAAACUGAAAGAAUUAGUCUGUUUUACCAAAUUGCGGAUUAUUUUUUUAUAGUUUUUGAAAUUAAUAAAUAAAUAAAUACCUCAGAA